rnacentral:rRNA from 1 species
GAAGAUAGUUUGCUAUCUUUGCCGGCGAGCGGCGGACGGGUGAGUAAUGCCUAGGGAUCUGCCCAGUCGAGGGGGAUAACAGUUGGAAACGACUGCUAAUACCGCAUACGCCCUACGGGGGAAAGGAGGGGACCUUCGGGCCUUCCGCGAUUGGAUGAACCUAGGUGGGAUUAGCUAGUUGGUGAGGUAAUGGCUCACCAAGGCGACGAUCCCUAGCUGUUCUGAGAGGAUGAUCAGCCACACUGGGACUGAGACACGGCCCAGACUCCUACGGGAGGCAGCAGUGGGGAAUAUUGCACAAUGGGGGAAACCCUGAUGCAGCCAUGCCGCGUGUGUGAAGAAGGCCUUCGGGUUGUAAAGCACUUUCAGUAGGGAGGAAAGGUAAUAGUUUAAUACGCUGUUGCUGUGACGUUACCUACAGAAGAAGGACCGGCUAACUCCGUGCCAGCAGCCGCGGUAAUACGGAGGGUCCGAGCGUUAAUCGGAAUUACUGGGCGUAAAGCGUGCGCAGGCGGUUUGUUAAGCGAGAUGUGAAAGCCCCGGGCUCAACCUGGGAAUUGCAUUUCGAACUGGCGAACUAGAGUCUUGUAGAGGGGGGUAGAAUUCC